rnacentral:lncRNA from 1 species
AAUGGUGUUGAUUUCAAGAUAGCCCCAUAUUUUGGCGUUUCAAUUAUCAAAAGAGUCGAUUACAAAAUAUUUUGUCGAUGAAGAUGCUCAUAGUGUUUGAGUCUCAUUGUUUCCAGAUCCUAGUCAAGUCUUCGAAGUUAUUCUGUAAAGCGUUCGAAGUCAUAUGCUCAGGAAGAUCGGAGAUAUAUCUUUCUUUUAAACUAUCCCCUUUUGCUUUUUGGGUCCUCAAAGACCAGUCUCGGACUACGGCAUUUUUCUCAGUUACUUGUGUAAUUGACUUCUCCAUCAGAAACCCGUUUUUGGCAACCAAUCUUUAACCAAUACCUUCAUAAUGAGAUGUCUAUGAUGCAUGAUAAAAAAAUAAAAUGAAGAACAAAUAAUCUUGGUUAGAGAUCACAAUAG